CAAGUACAUAUGUGUAUUUAUGUGUGCUGGAGAAGAACUAAAAGAAGGAAAGAAAAUCUGAAGGAAAGAAAAAGGGGAGGACUGAGAGAGAGAGCUGCUCGACAACGAAAAAGGGGGUAGAAGAAAUUGGAUAUUUAUGUGCGCUGGAGAAGAACUAAAAGAAGGAAAGAAAAUCUGAAGGAAAGAAAGAGGGGAGGACUGAGCUGCUCGAUAACGAAAAAGGGGGUAGAAGAAAUUGAAGAACUCAAGUAGAAUAACAAAGGAAGGAAAUAAAACUCAAGAAUUUCAGUCAAUUAAAGCUUAAGGUGAUCAAGAAUGUGACCAGGCUUAGAGGUGUUGGCCUGGAAUCUAUUUUUGUCUGCCAACCUAUGUGCCUCCCGUAGAGGUUCCAAAUAUGUCAAGUGCCAAGGCUAUGUGAUUAAAGUUUAAGUUUUUGUUUAUUCUGUAUAUAGGGCUAAGUCCCUUUUUCUCUUAUCAGUAUAUAUAUGAUGAUGUAGGAAUGAUGUGAUAAUAUAUGUAUAUAAAAAAAAUAAUAAAAAGAAAAGUUUAAAUAUUAUCUAUCUCAUGUAAGUCUACACAGCUCAAUGGACGAUAUAUGUUUGUAUUUUGCUUCUGCUAGCCCCUAAUCUUAUGUACCUGUUUAAGAGGCUUUCGGUAAUCUUAGGAUUACUGGUCGGUCAUGAUGCUAAACUUAUAAGGGCAGGUUUGGGUCGUGACACACACACUCACUCUCUCUCUCUCUCUCUCAUCGAUGAUCACCAUAUCUACUAAAAUUCGCCGUUACUGC